UACAGAGGGUGCAAACGUUGCUCGGAAUCAUUGGGCGUAAAGCGCGUGUAGGCGGCACGACAAGUCAAAGGUGAAAUCCCUCGGCUCAACUGAGGAACUGCCUUUGAAACUGUACGGCUUGAGGCCGGGAGGGGGUAGCGGAAUUCCCAGUGUAGCGGUGAAAUGCGUAGAUAUUGGGAGGAACACCAGUGGCGAAGGCGGCUACCUGGACCGGUUCUGACGCUGAUGCGCGAAAGCGUGGGUAGCAAACAGG
rnacentral:rRNA from 1 species